rnacentral:lncRNA from 1 species
UUUCAAGAUUUUCUGGCUUCCUUACUAGAUUUGACAACUCAUGUAUGUACUCAUUCAAACUCACAUAAAUAAACAUGUAUUAUUAACAUAUACACAUACAUAUGAAGAGGAGGUAGAUUAGAGCUGAUAUACUUGUAACUAAAUAAAUAAAAAUUAUGAGUUUGCUGUUAUGCGUCGUGGGUUAGGGACUUAGGGUACUCCUCAAAACUCUUAGAUUGUUAAUUAUAAGCCCUAAACGAGUCUAACUCAUGAAAAUGUUUUUAAAAAAACGAGUCUAACUUAAUUACAGCUUAACGGGAUUAUUAAUUAGUAGUAGGUCUUAUAAAAUUUUACUCUUAAUUAAUCUAUAUAUAAAAAGUUUCUCGUCAGUCUAGACAUAGCUAAAUACAUAUGUACAUAAAUAACAAGUAUUUGAUAUAAUACGUUUUUACGAUAAAAGUGUAUAUUGUUGUACACAUGCAUAUCAGCCCAUAUAUAGCGCACAAAUAUUUUUAUUUGUCAAACUUAUGAGC